GCCUGGGUGGCUCAGUUGGUUGAGCAUCUGACUUCAGAUCAGGUCAUGAUCUUGCAGUUUGCAGGUUUGAGCCUUGCAUUGGACU
rnacentral:tRNA from 1 species